GGAGUCUGGGCCGUAUCUCAGUCCCAAUGUGCCCGUCCGCCCUCUCAGGCCGGGUACCCGUCGUAGCCUUGGUGGGCCUUUACUACACCAACUAGCUAAUCGGACGCAGGCUCCUCGCAAAGCGAUAAAUCUUUAGUGCAGAAUCCAUGCGAACUCCACACAACAUCCGGUAUUAGCGUCCCUUUCGGAACGUUGUCCCCGACUUUGCGGCAGAUUACCUGCGCUUUACUCACCCGUUCGCCACUAGCACCGAAGUGCCCGUUCGACUUGCAUGUGUUAAGCACGCCGCCAGCGUCGUCUCGAGCCAUGAUCAAACUACU
rnacentral:rRNA from 1 species